UUUAUCGGAGAGUUUGAUCCUGGCUCAGGACGAACGCUGGCGGCGUGCCUAAUACAUGCAAGUCGAGCGGACAGAUGGGAGCUUGCUCCCUGAUG
rnacentral:rRNA from 2 species